CUUAAUUUUUUUUUUUUAUUUAUUUAUUUUACGCGUAACUUUUUUGUUUAAUUUUACUUACUACAAAAAUGAGAGUCUAGACGACGGGCAGCCUCUUCUAGAAGAUCAAGAGAA
rnacentral:ribozyme from 14 species